rnacentral:tmRNA from 1 species
GGGGCCGUAAAGGUUUCGACAGGGGCAGAUGGGGCAUGAUAAGCGAGCCCGGGGGUCAUCAACCGGUUAGUAAGGUGAAAAUUAAAUUUAAGAGCUAACGAAGAUUACGCUCUGGCCGCUUAAGGCCACCUCUGCUGCAAAUUCUUCCCGCUAACGCGCAGCAAUAGAGGUCAAAUAGUGGGAUACCAUCCGGAGAUGUUCCGAUAAGGGUGGGAAAUCUUAGGGACUCGGCCUGAUUGAGCUUGUCUUUGGACUCAUGAUGGCUUAAAAACGACCAUAGACUGCGCUCGGAGAAAGUUAUGAAACAGUGCUUUUGGACAGGGGUCCGAUUCCCCUCGGCUCCACCA